UACUUCAUUGUUAUAUAUUUUAACAGCUAUUAUAUUUGUUUCUUAAUGUAUGUAAGCUAAUUUUGUCUAGAAAAAGAAUCAAUUGCCAUAAAGGGUCGGCAGUGAUGCAAAAGUGGGUGGGGAAGGUCAAAAACUAAAACGUUUAAAAAGUCCAUGUUUUAUAUAGUUUUGAGGAACGAUCUUUUAGGGGUGUGAAACAUAUAUUAUUGGCAACAUGUUUUGGGGUAGUAAGGAGUUAACAAUUUUUACAAUAAAAGAUUAAUUAAUAUUUUGGAUCAAAAAAACUUUCACAUUUAUUCAAAAAAGUCUCUUGACAUUGCUUAUCACUUUGUUUUGUUUUUUUUAUGUCAAAAUGCCCCAGACUACCUAUUCAACAACGUUGUGAGUUCUUUAUUAUAUUUUGUCAAAUAAAUAACCACUAUGCAAGCAAAUUAUAGUUUAGUGUCUGAAAUGAUGUUUCAUAUAUUUUAGCCGGCCUAAAGGAGCUAACAAAGAUAUCAUCAGUCCACAAAGGAAUCAACCAGUGAAGGAGAAAAACAUUCAAAGCUGUAAAUUGCCAAAUCCAUCACCGGACUUAAGGAGCUAACAAAGAAAUCAUCAGUCCACAAAAGAAUCAACCAGUGAAGGAGAAAAACAUUCAAAGCUGUAAAUUGCCAAAUCCAUCAGUUGGAAGAUGGAUGUCAAAGUCUCAGACAAAAGCUUCCAGAGUUAAGAAAAGAUCACUUCAACAAAAACAAGCACGAGAAGAAUGACUGCAAAAAAUAUUUUCGCAGAUGCGUUUCCUCAUCAAGUGUAUAAGGAAAACGGACCUGUCUACAGAGACUAGAUGUAAAUGUCAAGGACUGAAAUGAGCAAUUCAAUGGCUCAUUUCUAAUUGUGUUAAGUGUCAUAAAAAAUUAAAACUGUUCUAAAUGGACAUGUAGUAAUGAUGAAAUUAUCAUCCUGUUGGGAAUAACAUUUACUUAUUCAUGAACUUAGUUCAUGAAUGACAUUUUGAAAAAAUCAUGUUCAUUAACUGUCAAGUUCAUUUACUAAGUGGGAGUUCAUGAACAUGAUUUGUCCAAAUUGUCAUUCUUGAAUAGUUCAUGUUAUUCUCAAAAAGCACACGCUUGACGUCACUGACAUGGAUAUUAAUUUGAUGGACUAAAGAAGCUCCAUACAUGGAAAAUGACAAAUGCGAAUCAAUUAAUACGCUGUCUAGAAUAAAAAAUAACUGUAUAACUAAUUUUAUCAGUAAAUACAAAACUGUGAGUCUAGCCCGCUGAUGCCAAAAAUUAAGUCAUUAAUAACUAUGCAUUUAAACUCCAGAAUGACCUUUAUGAACCAUUAAUGUACAGGUGAUAUUUAUUGUUUCUUAAAUACAAUAACUUAUAAACUGUGUUAGUUUGAAUUUUUUAUCCAUGUUUUCAUGCACAUUGGUUAAAAGUACAUGUUUGAAAAAUAUAAUGAUAUAAUUAAAGAGAGAUAACUGUUUUACUUGCGUUUAUGCUGUAAGAGCGUAGAAGGGCAUGUGAGUGAAUUUCAUAAAGCAUGUUAGAGCAUCUUGGGUCAUUUGCUUGCUUACCCUACUGCAUUCAUACAGCAUAAAAGCAGUAAAAUGUGAGCAUUACUUAUAAUUUUAAUACAUAAUAAAAAAAUGUUCAUUUCGGUUAAACAG